UAUGUCUCUCCACAUCUUUAGGGGUACCGAAGGACUCAUUCAAUAUUUGAAUCAUCUCCUCAGGCUGCGCAUUCUCGAACUUACGACUAAGUUCAUCGUUCAUAGCUGUCCUCAUCAUGCAACGCACAGUCGUGCGAUCAUUGAGCCACUUCAUGUAAGUGUCUCUUGCAGCACGAGGAGCAUUGACUGCAGGUUCUUC
rnacentral:lncRNA from 1 species